rnacentral:lncRNA from 1 species
GACUGAUAUAAAAUUUACAAAGAUUUACAAAAAAAAACAACUUUUCCCUCGUAUAAAAUGACGAACAAUGUAAUAAAAAAUUGAUAAAAUCGCCACGUUAUGUAUUGAAAAAUAUAUUUGCAUCAGAUACAACUUUCAUUACAGACACUCAAGUUGUAUUACCGUAUAGCGGGUUAUUUUCGAGGGUGUAUAAUUUCGGGAUUGUCGUUGAAUAAGAUAUACAAAAUAAUUUGGCGGUUAUUAUUUUGGCGGAUUCAAAGCUUUUCUCAAUACCUUUGCAUAUGCACUUUUAAAUGGGCGGAAUUUAUUUUGGCGAUUUUGUUCUAUAAGCGAAAAUAAGCGAAAAUUUACAUCCCGCGAAAUAACCCGCUAUAUGGUAUACAGUACAUUUCGGAUUAUAAAUUCUUGAAAUUAAACCCAAUCAAUAAUUAUAAAAUAAACAAGUAAUGCAUUUAAUAUUAUAUACAAAUAAACUGAGACUGUUUGCAAAAUGUCAAUAAAAUACACUGCACACUAUUGUUGAAUUUCUAUGCGUGUUGUGGAAGGGGGCAUCGGUGGCAGAGUAGUCCAUAAACAUAAAUUAUAUCAUUAGUCAGGCAUUGCUCAGAUUUUAGAGUUCGCAUCUCACAAAACGACAGA